GCCAUUCAUAUCAAUCAUUACGCACCACCAACCAGGCUUUCUGUUUCCAAUGGCUCCCAUGCAAAAACACUGCAGUGUUCUAUCAACGUGGCGGAAGUGAAACUUCGAAAGGUUUUCAACACCGUCUUGAUCAAGUUGGCGAAGUGUUUCAUACGGUUAGAGAUGCUUUGAUGAAAGAGAGCAGUGUGGUGACCUCGAGGGGUGCGAGAGGAGGAAAAGGCUCUAGCCCCCUGCCGCAUUUAGGAGGUGUGAAGGGCUGUCCAGGUUCCAGUGUUAAGCAUCUGUCCCACCAGCAACAAGCGAGGCUGUGUGGCGACCGGCUUACCUCUGCGCACAAAGGAUGUCCUGUACUUCCCGUGCACACAGACACACUUAAACC
ensembl:lncRNA